GACAUCUGGCAGUGAGUUUUUAAUACUGAGGGUCAUUUACAUGGCUGGUGUUGCUAAAGAGCUCAGAAGGUAAUAGUUAAUUUCUUGAACUUCCCAGCUGGUUUAACUGCAUCAGAAUUUAAACCUAUUGGAAUGCAUUUCAAAGGUAAGACUGAUGUUACUUUGUUUUUUUUUGGAAUUAUCCUAGAAUGAGGUGAGAAUAAAACUCAUCCUUGACCUGUGGCUCUCAACCAAAGGUUUGGGUGUGAGCAUUCAUUGGAAAAGUUCUCCAGGUGCUUUUCCAAGAUUGAGGAUCACUGCUCCAGGGUGAAGUGCAUGUGAAUCACUGAGGCCCCUGCUUUUCUAACACACUCCAGGUGAUGCCCAUGCAAUAAGGACUUGCUUUAGUGGUCAGGACAACUUUCAGUGGGUGACCCUGUAUCUCUAAACUACACUGCAGCAACAUGGAGUGAGACAACCAUAAAAGACACAUUUGCUAGUACAGAAAAGGGGAAAGAAUAGCCCCCGUGGGCAAAGGCUUCUACCACGAACAUUUAUUUUUGUUAAAGCAGAUUAUAAAUUCUCAUCAGUACAAAUAUAUAUAUAUAACUUACAUUUGAUUGUAAGGCCAACGUUUAAAAGUAAUAAUGAGAUGGGAUCUCUCAUGUUACCAGAGGUCAAGUGGCUGCAACUGGCAAUGGGAUUUUUGCUAGCCAAAACGGGGGAACACAAAGCUAGUAAAACCAGGACCCCUACAAAACUCAGGGAAACAACCCCAUAAAGUAAGACCAACAUUACAAACGGACACAGAAAACCUGUUCCUUUCUGUGGAUAUACAAUUAUGUAAUUGUCACUUUAGUGUUAAAAAAAGCAUUAACUUAAGGAAAAUACAUAUUCUCUAUAGAGCACAUUUAGAUUGAGUCCAUUAAAAUGACAUUAGAAUUUCUCAUAGGUUCAAAACCAGGACGAAUACUGCUCUUUCAUUUACAACUACAACCUAGUGACUGUAUUGGUCUUAAGCAUGAUUGUUGUUGCAAUGUGAUACUUACAAUGAAUGAUACUGCCCAAGCUAGGGAUCCCGUCUGCCACCUCCCUUUCCUCUUUUUACUUCAAUAGGCAUCAAUGAUAAAUCAAUCUUAUGUACAAUUUUACAGCUAACCCUUUACCUUUGGCAAGAUUACUUACAACUCAUACAACUUUUUAAUAUUGAGAACUAUUUAAAAUAUUCUAACUGCAUAAAAAUAAAGAUUUUGGCUUUUUCGAUAUAUUUAUAUUUAUUCUGUUACUCAAAAUGGAAGCUCAACUUUUCCCCAAAAUAUAGCUCUGUUGUACCUGCCUGGGAGUGCGGGCUAUGCCACCUGCCCCUCUCAUCCAGCUGGAGCACACGCCAGGACUGAAGGGCAGGCGGACGGCCUGGAAAAUGAAGAGACUUGUAAGAUGAGGAAGGGCAGAGAGGAGAGGCACCGUUUCUGACUCCUUCAGGCUAACUGCAAGGCAGCUCUUCUUUCAAAACCACCCCUUCAUUGCACUCUGACUGGAUUUAUUCCUGGGGACCUUUGGGAUUACUGAAAAGUAUUUCGAUCGGGAAGACAAAAUCUCCUUUCAGCCUCUGACCACCUCCCCAAACCUGGUCUGAGUAUGAGCAAGAUAGGUGGAAGGAAAGUCUCUACUGGAGAAAGAAGAACCUGUCAGACAUGCUGCUGACCCUGAAAACCAUGUACACCAGGGAGCAGUGGGCCAUCAAGAGGCUCUCACCUACAGCCUACUCACAUGCCUAAGGAAAAAUGCUGCAGAAUUUUUGUGAUGUUGGACAGUGAU